AUAGCCCUCUUGAAUCGGCCAAAAUCGAAAAUAAUGAUUUGUUAUUUUUAGAUAAAAAGAGGCUUGUCGUGAGUUGUUGAUUCGAGUUGUCAGAAUAUUAUUACUGUGUAACAACGUUCAUUAAAUUCGUGUUUACACGUUCAGCCUAUAUACAUAGAGGUUGGUAUAAUAAUGCACAAGUAACUAAAUAACGAACGAAGAUAUACUUAUUACGAUUGUAUUAUUGUUAUUGAAUUCUGUGGAAUAUUUUUCUAGAUCAAAAGAA